rnacentral:rRNA from 1 species
AUACGGAGGAUCCGAGCGUUAUCCGGAUUUAUUGGGUUUAAAGGGUGCGCAGGCGGCCAUUUAAGUCAGCGGUUAAAUCGUGGGGCUCAACCCCAUUCUGCCGUUGAUACUGGGUGGCUUGAUUGCGGUCGAGGUUGGCGGAAUUCGUUGUGUAGCGGUGAAAUGCAUAGAUAUGACGAAGAACACCGAUUGCGUAGGCAGCUGACCAGACCGCAAAUGACGCUCAUGCACGAAAGUGCGGGGAUCGAACAGGAUUAGAUACCCUGGUAGUCCGCACAGUAAACGAUGAAUACUUGUUUUCGGCGAUAGAAUGUCGGAGGCAAAGCGAAAGCGAUAAGUAUACCACCUGGGGAGUACGCCGGCAACGGUGAAACUCAAAUGAAUUGACGGGG